rnacentral:rRNA from 1 species
UUCUGGUUGAUCCCGCCGGAGGUCACUGCUAUUGGGAUUCGACUAAGCCAUGCGAGUUGUGAGGGUUCGGCCCUCGGCAGACGGCUCAGUAACACGUAGAUAAUUUGCCCUUAGGUGGAGGAUACCCUCGGGAAACUGAGAAUAAUACUCCAUAGAUCUAGACUGCUGGAAUGCUUUUAGAUUGAAAGAUUUAUCGCCUAAGGAUAAGUCUGCGUACUAUCAGGUUGUAGUUAGGGUAAAUACCUGACUAGCCUAUGACGGAUACGGGUAGUGAGAGCUUUAGCCCGGAGAUGAUAUCUGAGACACGAUAUCAGGCCCUACGGGGCGCAGCAGGCGCGAAAACUUCGCACUGUGCGAAAGCACGGCGAGGGAAUCCCAAGUGCUGGCUCGUAAGAGUCAG